CAAUAGCGUAUAUUAAAGUUGUUGCAGUUAAAAAGCUCGUAGUUGGAUCUGUGGUGUGCGGUGGGCUCCGGGCACUUGUUGUCUGAGCAGCUCGCCGCUGCCAUCCUUGGGUGGAACCUGUGUGGCAUUAGGUUGUCGUGCAGGGGAUGCCCAUCGUUUACUGUGAAAAAAUUAGAGUGUUCAAAGCAGGCUUAUGCCGUUGAAUAUAUUAGCAUGGAAUAAUGAGAUAGGACUUUUUCGCUAUUUUGUUGGUUUGCGCGAAGAGGUAAUGAUUAAUAGGGACAGUUGGGGGUAUUCGUAUUCCAUUGUCAGAGGUGAAAUUCUUGGAUUUUUGGAAGACGAACUACUGCGAAAGCAUUUACCAAGGAUGUUUUCAUUAA
rnacentral:rRNA from 1 species